rnacentral:lncRNA from 1 species
AAAAUGAUCAUCAAAAUCAUUUUUCAAAAAAUUCAAUGAAGGAAACAUAGAUAGAUUCACACGAGAACUUGAUUCAUGCAUAAUGUCUCAAUUUUUCAUGAAUCGUAAAAAAAUUUAGAGUAUCAAGUGACGGAGUCAUGAUUCAUGUAACAAAAAAAAUUAUCGAUUCAUGCAUUUAAACCAUUACUACUUCAACUCAUCAUGC